rnacentral:rRNA from 1 species
UAAUGUAUGGGGAUCUGCCCGAUAGAGGGGGAUAACUACUGGAAACGGUGGCUAAUACCGCAUAAUGUCUACGGACCAAAGCAGGGGGCUCUUCGGACCUUGCACUAUCGGAUGAACCCAUAUGGGAUUAGCUAGUAGGUGGGGUAAAGGCUCACCUAGGCGACGAUCUCUAGCUGGUCUGAGAGGAUGAUCAGCCACAUGGGACUGAGACACGGCCCAG